rnacentral:rRNA from 1 species
CCCUUAGAUGUUCUGGGCCGCACGCGCGCUACACUGACGAAUGCAACGAGCUUAUAACCUUGGCCGAAAGGUCUGGGUAAUCUCCAAAUUUCGUCGUGAUGGGGAUAGAUUAUUGCAAUUAUUAAUCUUCAACGAGGAAUGCCUAGUAAGCGCAAGUCAUCAGCUUGCGUUGAUUACGUCCCUGCCCUUUGUACACACCGCCCGUCGCUCCUACCGAUUGAAUGGUCCGGUGAAGCGUUCGGACCGUGGCCUUUGGACGGUUCGCCGUCUGUUGGCUGCAGGAAGUUCGUUAAACCUUAUCAUUUAGAGGAAGGAGAAGUCGUANCA